GACUAACGGCUGGCGGCGUGCCUAAUACAUGCAAGUCGAACGGGAUUCUUUGAUCAGCUUGCUGAGAGAAGGAUCUAGUGGCGGACGGGUGAGUAACGCGUGGGAAUCUGCCUCUUACUGGGGGAUAACAGUGGGAAACUACUGCUAAUACCGCAUAAGAUCUUCGGAUGAAAGGUGCAACUGCACCGGUAAGAGAUGAGCCCGCGUCCCAUUAGCUAGUUGGUGAGGUAAAGGCUCACCAAGGCGACGAUGGGUAGCCGGCCUGAGAGGGUGAACGGCCACACUGGGACUGAGACACGGCCCAGACUCCUACGGGAGGCAGCAGUAGGGAAUCUUCCGCAAUGGGCGCAAGCCUGACGGAGCGACGCCGCGUGAGUGAUGAAGGCCUUCGGGUCGUAAAGCUCUGUUCUUGAGGACGAAUAAGCCAGGGAGUGGAAAGCCCUGGUGAUGACUGUACUCAAGGAGAAAGCUCCGGCUAACUACGUG
rnacentral:rRNA from 1 species